rnacentral:miRNA from 1 species
UAUGUGUCUAAUAAUUUAGUUCAUGUGUUUACAUUUGGCUAUUUAAUUUUCUCACACAUUCAUUAGAAACAUGCAUAUACACACAUGUAUAUGCACAUACAUACAUAUAUGAACACUCAUGUGU